GAUAAACGCUGGCGGCGUGCAUGAGACAUGCAAGUCGAACGAGUACCGGGCUUGCUCGGUGCUAGUGGCGGACGGCUGAGUAACGCGUAGGUGACCUACCCCGAAGUGGGGAAUAACUGCCCGAAAGGGUGGCUAAUACCGCAUGUGGUCGCACGUUCAUUCGUGCGAGUAAAGCCGCAAGGCGCUUCGGGAGGGGCCUGCGUCCGAUUAGCUCGUUGGUGGGGUAAUGGCUUACCAAGGCGACGAUCGGUAGGUGGUCUGAGAGGACGAUCACCCAGACUGGGACUGAGACACGGCCCAGACUCCUACGGGAGGCAGCAGUCGGGAAUGUUGCUCAAUGGGGGAAACCCUGAAGCAGCAACGCCGCGUGAGGGAUGAAGGCCUUCGGGUUGUAAACCUCUUUUGUCAGGGACGAUGAUGACGGUACCUGGCGAAUAAGCCACGGCUAACUACGUGCCAGCCGCCGCUGUAAAAC
rnacentral:rRNA from 1 species